rnacentral:rRNA from 1 species
CGACGGGGAGGUUUGGCACCUCGAUGUCGGCUCGUCUCAUCCUGGGGCUGAAGAAGGUCCCAAGGGUCCGGCUGUUCGCCGGUUAAAGCGGUACGUGAGCUGGGUUCAGACCGUCGUGAGACAGGUCGGUCUCUAUCCGCUAUGGGCGUAGGAGGCUUGAGGGAAGCUCUCCCUAGUACGAGAGGACCGGGAGGGACAAACCUCUGGUGUGCCGGUCGUUCCGCCAGGAGCGCCGCCGGGUAGCUAAGUUUGGCAGGGAUAAGCGCUGAAAGCAUCUAAGUGCGAAGCCCCUCCCAAGAUUAGGCCUCCCUUCCAAGUUUCGGCUUGGAGUAAGAUCGCAGGUAGACUACCUGCUUGAUAGGUCACAUGUGUAAGUCUCGCAAGAGAUUCAGCUUAGUGAUACUAAUCGAUCGAGGGCUUGACUC